rnacentral:rRNA from 1 species
GAUUUCUGGUUUGAUGUACCUGUCCCGCCUCGGUAACGGGGACGAGUGACGGAGUAUGUCUGCCAUCCUUCUAGAGAAUAUAGUCUAUCCUUUACUGGACCGGAUUAUAUCAUCUAGAUCUUUUACUUUGAAAAAAUUAGAGUGUUUCAAGCAGGCUUUAUGCUAUGAAUACAUUAGCAUGGAAUAAUAAUUUAGGACUUCGGUUCUAUUUUGUUGGUUUCUAGGACUGAAGUAAUGAUUGAUAGGGAUAGUUGGGGGUGCUAGUAUUCAGCGGCCAGAGGUGAAAUUCUCGGAUUCGCUGAAGACUAACUUAUGCGAAAGCAUU